ACGUGAUCUGAGUUCAGACCGGAGUAAUCCAGGUCAGUUUCUAUCUAUAGCGGGGCUCUUUCUAGUACGAAAGGACCGAAAAAGCAUGGCCAAUACUUCACGCAUGCCAUAACUAGUAGUUUAUGACCUAAUCUUAAUAAAUAACUAGCCCAACUAUCAACUCUAAAGAAGAGUG
rnacentral:rRNA from 1 species